UCUUUGAAUUUUUGGUUUGCGUUAUAUACGAGGAAAGUCCGGGCUUCGCAAAAGGAAUAGGUAGCAGAUAAUAUCUGCCAAAGGUGACUUUAGGGAAAGUGCCACAGAGACUAUACUAGUUUAAUUCUUUGAAUUAAAUAAAAGGUGAAAAGCUAAUCUUAGAUUAGAGUUUAUAGGUAACUAUAAAAUUUGGUAAACCCUACCUAGAAGCAAGUAUAGAAUGGGAAAGUUUAUGUUUAUUUUCUUCCUUUGUUGACUUAAAUUUUGCUAUACGCUUUGAAUUAAUAAGUGAUUAUUAAUCUAGAUAAAUAAACCAUUAAAACAGAACCCGGCUUAUACAUUUCAAAGGGCUU
rnacentral:RNase_P_RNA from 1 species